UAUGAGGGGCCUAGCGUUGUUCGGAAUCAUUGGGCGUAAAGGGUGUGUAGGUGGCUAUGUAAGUCAGGUGUGAAAGCCCCGGGCUCAACCCGGGAAGUGCAUCUGAUACUGCGUAGCUUGAGUACCGAAGAGGAUAGUGGAAUUCCAGGUGUAGUGGUGAAAUACGUAGAUAUCUGGAGGAACACCGGUGGCGAAGGCGGCUAUCUGGUCGAGUACUGACACUGAGACACGAAAGCAUGGGGAUCAAACAGG
rnacentral:rRNA from 1 species